rnacentral:rRNA from 1 species
UUCGCUCGGACAGUUUGGGCUAUGGUCCAAGUAGCUUCGAAUUUAUACCCACCAUGUAGUGCACGGAAUAUGUUCCGCAACUGGUUGCGGGGUAUAGAUAAAGAAUUUUCUGCACAUAUUCUUGUGGGAGCGGCGGCCUUAUGCUCGGCAAUGUGGCUUACCAGGAAUGAUGUGGUUUUUAACAAUAAAUGUGUCUCAUCUCCUAUGUAGGUUAUUCAUGUUUGUACACGAUGGCUUCGUACUUGGUCUAUCCUGCAGAAGCCGGAGGACAGGGACCUUUUUAUGAUGGCAUCUACACGGCUGGAGCGUACAGCCAGGGAGGUUUUCUACCCCCAUGGAUGGCGGUGUGAUUUACGGAUAGGAUCUACCGCUCCUUAG